GCGUAAACUGGAGGAAGGAAGACUAGUUUGGAGCUCCUAGGAAUUCAGUGAAGGAUGCCAACACUCAACCUGUGAGGUCUGAAGAGGACGGUAGGACCUGCAUCACUGUGGAUGCUCAGUGGGUAAGACCUGCAUCUCUGUGGAUGCUUAGUGGGUAGGACCUACGAACUGAAGGGCCAGAUGGUGUAGAGGGAGCAGGUUUCAGGGUUUCUGACUUGGCUGGCAAAGAAGAUGGGAGGAGGGGUCAGCUAUCACUGCGGACAUGUUGUUUUGGUGACGAGAUCAUCAAGGGUCAUCUAACUAGAGAUGUCCGACAGGCUGGCAGAAAUGCGGGCGUGGAACUUGAGAGAGAGGACUUGGAAGGCAUAUUUUUCCUCUGACACAUUUUUGUUCGGCUUCCAUUCCUGAGGUUUGGCUCAGGCCGCUGUGGACUGGUGGGGGAAGUGCCCGCUCUGAGAUCCUGGGUGUGUUUACACCGCCCCAGCAGCAAAGCCACUGCCUUCCCAGUUCCCACAUAGGAAGCAGGGUUUGUGUAGACUCGAGGGUCCCUGGCAAGAUGUCAAACUGAGAACACAGGUCUGGGCUGGCACUGAAGGUCCGUCUCCAGCUGCAUGUCCUCCAGCUUCAUGUACAGCCUGCCUGGUUUACGGGCAGGCUCCCCAUCCAAAGGCCAAGAUGACUGCCAAGCAUCCUGCUGAUUCAGAUUGCCCAGACAGAGAAAGUGUCCUAUUACUGCUGAUUCUAAACCCCCAUCUGAUUCUCCAAAGGGCUUCAUUAGCCUCGUGCCCAGUCCUAAAUCCACCAGUGUGCUUUGACAAGGGUUUUCCUAUCCUAUGCUGGGGUCUGUGUACACUGCUCCAGGUCAACGCUGUGGCACAGUAGACCCCGCCUUUAUUCCUGAAGCAAUCAAACUCUUGAUCUGACACCAGGCCAGAACACAUGGUCACCACUGGAGGCAGGGUUGAUGCCAGGCCAUACAAACCCUUGGGAACUGGAGGGUAAGGGGCAUGUGGUUUUCUGAAGCAAAAGUGAGGUAUUCUUACCAGUAGAAAGGGUUGCUGGCUGUCAGCAGAUAAGAACAACAGCUAUUUUCUGCGGGUGGGGGACCGAAGGGCAUGGGAGUGUGGAGCCUCUGGGCCUUGCCCAGUGUGACAGUUGUGGAUGGUGUGAGUGUGAGCAGUGGGGUUAGCUGGGGUUAGCUCUGCCUUGUUACUUAUUAACUCUGUGACUUUGAACCAAGUUGCCUAAUCUGGUAUUUAACUUCCUCAUGGGCAUAAUGGAAUAACAGCAGGUACCUGUUUCACAGGGUUGGUUUGAGAAUUAAGUAAGGGGGUGCAGAGGGGAAGAGUCCAUGUGAGGUCUAACAUGUCCUAGUGGGCUCUGUAACACAGGCCUGCUCUGUCCUCGGCCAUUUUCUUGAACAACUCAGGUCGGUGGGCCCCACACCUGAGGUAGGCCCCACACAUCAGAUGGGCCUCUCAAGAACUGGUGAGCUUUCUCUUUAGGAGAGGAGCCAGUACAAAUCCAGUAUUCUCUGGGCCCUGGGACCUCAGCUGUCAUCUACUUGGGUUCCUGCCCCUCCACUAGUUCUGACUUUUAGGCACAAGAAGGAGUUUAAAUGCCACGAAAUGAUCUUUUGUGGACCCAUAGUGAUUGGGCUGGAAAUAUUUCUUGUGGUUCUCACACAAGAAGACACAAGUCCGUGGGGUUUCCCUGGCCUAAAGUUAUGCCAUCAGCAGCUGGGGAAAAGAAAUGUUUUCAGAAUAAAUUUUUAAAGAAUUUUCACAUGCCAUAUUUCCAGUCAGGCAAACAUGGGUGGGCCUCUGCUGGGGCUGCCUCCACAGUGCAGGCUCAAAGGUGCUGGGCCUGCCAAAGCUCGCAGCUGGAGUCCGGGCACUGACCUGAAAACCAAGAAUUUGUGCAAGAAAGCCCAACAACUGGGGAGCAGACAGCCCAAGAUCAGUGAACAAGAGGUUUCAAGACGAAAGACAGUUGUAACUCAGACUGGCCCAGCUCGUUCUCUCUGUAGAACUACAGCUCAGCUUCCCCAGAGGCUGUGCUCUUGGAGAGACUCAGUGGUCAGAAGGCCAAGUGGAGGCUGUUGACAUCAUUCACAGGGAUGGAGAAGACAGAAACGGGGGGCAGAGUGAGAGAGCCAAAACAAGAACAGGGAAGGAUAUCCCUUCCCCAAGCUUAGAAAUGGUCCUGGGUGGGACGUGCAUGCACUGAGACACGAUAGUGUAGGAAGGAAUUUCUAAAACAGUUUUCAGAGAUUGUAGAACUAGAUAGAUUUAUGAUGGGGUUGUAGUUUCACCUUAUCCUAGCUUGUGUGUAUACCAUAAACAGUUUCAUUACCUAUUAGGUGGGACGAUGACACUGCUUUCUAUAACUUGAAGAUUUGGGGAGGGGAUAUAGCAAUGUGUUGGAUCCGCCCAGUACAGAAUUUUGUCAACUGAGACUAAGAAACCUAAGCACUAAGGUGGGAACAGCUGAGGGUGAACCAUUUGCAACUUCCAGAGAGCCCUGUCUCCCCAUGGUCCAGUUAUGCUGAGGUUACCCCAGUCCCUGAUCCUUUACCUUCGUGCUUUGGUGUGCCCACCUCUCCACUUGGGUAGACUCGGGACUGCUCUCCAUGGACCUAACCGGCUUGUGCUCUCCAGCUACCAAGGUCCACCUUGAAGGUCACCCCUUCCAGGCUUUGUCUGGUUCUUACUUCUAACUCUUGUAGCAAGGAUCUAUGUUAGUCUGUAAAGCCUGGGUGGGGGUGCCAAGCGGCUAGAGGCGGGUUCCUUUCCUGGCAUGUGAACUGGUCAAGAGGAAACUUCUGAGUGGAAGCAUAAAAACUGAAAGUUCUGAAAAAAAAAA